GAUGAACGCUGGCGGCGUGCCUAAUACAUGCAAGUCGAGCGAGGUGCUUUUGUAGCAAUACGAGGGCAUCCUAGUGGCGAACGGGUGAGUAACGCGGUGGUGACCUGCCCCGAAGUGUGGGAUAACAGUCCGAAAGGAUUGCUAAUACCGCAUGUGGUCCCCGGGUGUAGGAACCGGUGAUUAAAGUCGCAAGACGAUUUGGGAGGGACUUGCGUGCCAUCAGCUAGUUGGUGAGGUAACGGCCCACCAAGGCUAGGACGGGUAGGGGGCCGGAGAGGGUGGCCCCCCACAAUGGAACUGAAACACGGUCCAUACACCUACGGUUGGCAGCAGUAGGGAAUAUUGCACAAUGGGCGAAAGCCUGAUGCAGCAACGCCGCGUGCGCGAAGAAGGCCUUCGGGUCGUAAAGCGCUUUUCUGGGAGAUGAGAAAGGACAGUAUCCCAGGAAUAAGUCUCGGCUAACUACGUGCCAGCCGCCGCAGUAAGAC
rnacentral:rRNA from 1 species